UACGUAGGGGGCGAGCGUUGUCCGGAUUUAUUGGGCGUAAAGAGCUCGUAGGCCGUUCGGUAAGUCAGAUGUGAAAACUCCCAGGCUCAACUUGGAGAGGCCAUCUGAUACUGCUGUGACUAGAGUCCGGUAGGGAGCACGGAAUUCCUGGUGUAGCGGUGAAAUGCGCAGAUAUCAGGAGGAACACCAGCGGCGAAGGCGGUGCCUCUGGGCCGGAACUGACGCUGAGGAGCGAAAGCGUGGGUAGCGAACAGG
rnacentral:rRNA from 1 species